GUUACAAUAAAGGACAAGCUAGGGAAAUUAUGGAUAAGGCAGUUGAGCAUGGUGAAUUAUCCAAACCACUUAUUUAGGCCUUGAUACAUUUUGAGGCAAUUCAGUCUACGGCAAAGAGAAUUGAUUAUUUAGAUUCAUUAGUUGAAAAGGUCAUAGUGCCCAACAUAGAGAAAGCAACGGUCGUGAGUGCUUCAAUGAGGGAGGAGUUAUCGAGCAUUUUCUUUGAGAGGAAAGCUGAAAAGCAAGGAAUGUAGGCAAGGCAGUCACAGACAAGGGAAGAGGUAGAGUCGUUGUGUGAAGAAGAUGAAGACAAGCACGGUGACACCUUAUGUGGGGCAUGCGGUGAGAACUAUGCUUCAGAUGAAUUUUGGAUUUGCUGUGAUAAUUGUGAGAAAUGGUUCCACAGGAAAUUUGUUGUAUGAAGAAAUGCUUCAGUUUAUCAGUUUUCUUGUGAUGUAUUGAGCUUUCUAAAAUAGGGUAGUUGGUUU